GGAGCUGUAGCUCAGUCUGGUAGAGCGGCAGAUUGCAAUCCGUGUUAGUGUUAAACUGGUAACACAGUUUAACUAUUUACUUACCUCGGGCACUUCAUCUGUAGGCCCCGCGUUCGAACCGCGGCAGUUCCU